ensembl:miRNA Mir5103 microRNA 5103
CUUCUGGUGGUCUUUGGGGACCCUAGGAUCUGGGCAUAACAUUUGGGGGCUCAUCCGGGAUCCCCUGAGGCCCCCAGGA